ACUGGAGUUGCCGUAUGCGAGGUGGUGCGACUGCUACAGCUCGGAGACUUCCACGUCAACACACCGUCUGAAAGAGUGCAAUGGAUUCCGCGUCUCUGGAACCUUCCCUCUACACAGUGAAAGCUCUUUUCAUUCUUGACAAUGAUGGCAACAGACUUCUCUCAAAGUAUUAUGACCCUAAGCUUUACCCCUCCAUGAAGGAGCAAAAGAACUUUGAGAAGAAUAUUUUCAACAAGACUCACAAAGCAGACAAUGAAAUAGCUUUCCUGGAAGGAUUGACUAUCGUCUAUAAAAGCAGCAUAGACCUUUUUCUCUAUGUUGUCGGAAGCUGUCAAGAGAAUGAGUUGAUGCUGAUGUCUGUACUCAACUGCCUAUUUGACUGCCUUAGUCAAAUCCUGAGGAAAAAUGUGGAGCGUAGGUGUUUCCUUGAGAACAUGGAAGGAGCCUUUCUCAUUGUUGAUGAAAUUGUUGAUGGAGGAGUGAUCCUGGAAAGUGACGCACAACAAGUCCUCCAAAAGGUGAAUUAUAAGCUUGUGCCAGAGCCUGCCUAUGGUUUUGUCCUAUUUGAUCACAUCACUGGUAACCUCCAAGCACAAACAGACAAGAGCCAGCUGCUGUAGACAGAGAAAAACAGGGUUGAUGAAGGUACAUUAUCUGAACAAAGCGUAGCACAGGUUCUGCAGUCGGCCAAGGAGCAGAUCAAAUGGUCCUUACUGAAAUAACAGCGAUGUCAAGCUAUGUCAAGGCAGUUUCAAUUACCCCAUCGUUUAGUGACCAUUUUAAUUGUUUAGAUUUUGAAGGUCUAUGAAUAACUUGAAACUGACAAGACUGCAGCUUGGGCAAGUCACAAUAGAUGUGUUUACAGAUGUAAAAAUAAGGCAUACAUAAAAAUGGAACACUAUGUGGUAAUGGAGGUGGUUGUGUUAUGUUCUGGGGCUGGUUUGUUACAUUUGGCACGGUAUCUGCGCAGGGUGUGAUGAAAUCUCAAGACUGUGUAAGCACUGGCCGAUAAGCAGGCUGAAAAAGUGCUGUAGUCUCAUUGAGUUACAGAAAUUGAUUAGUGAUUUCUUCAAAAGAUUGUGCAACCAAAUAUUAAGUGAAGAGAAUUAUAUUUUUGUAAAAGUAUUUUUAUGCCUUUGGCCUGCAAAUAUAAAACAAUGCCUUAUUUUUAUUAGUAAAUAAUCAAUAUUUUUUAGGUAUAUUUAUUACUUUUGUCUGUUUCAAGUUAUGUCAGAGACUAAUGUUGGUUGUUUUUUUUACAGAAAUGUAAAUUUCCUGAAAAAAUAUUUGCAUAUUUUAAUUGUUUAUUCCUGUAAAGACAUUUUCAAAUAUUGUUACAAAAAGGUCAAUGAUUGAAGUCAUUAAAGAAAUGUUUUUAAAAUAUGUGUAAUACAAAAGAUUUUAAUACAA